rnacentral:rRNA from 1 species
GACGAACGCUGGCGGCGUGCUUAACACAUGCAAGUCGAACGGAAAGGCCUGUCCUUCCUUGUGUUGGACGGGUGCUCGAGUGGCGAACGGGUGAGUAACACGUGAGUGAUCUGCCCCCAACUUGGGUAUAAGCCUGGGAAACUGGGUCUAAUUCCCGAUAGGACUGCAGGGUGGUGCCUGUGGUGGAAAACGAUUUUCUAGUGGUUGGGGAUGAGCUCGCGGCCUAUCAGCUUGUUGGUGGGGUAAUGGCCUACCAAGGCGGCGACGGGUAGCCGGCCUGAGAGGGUGGACGGCCACAUUGGGACUGAGAUACGGCCCAGACUCCUACGGGAGGCAGCAGUGGGGAAUAUUGCACAAUGGGCGGAAGCCUGAUGCAGCGACGCCGCGUGGGGGAUGACGGCCUUCGGGUUGUAAACUCCUUUCGACCGCGAGGAAGCCGCCUGGUUGGAAGGGUGGUGACGGUAGUGGUAGAAGAAGCACCGGCUAACUA